rnacentral:telomerase_RNA from 1 species
UACUUUCGAACGUCAAUUGCAACAGCCAACGACGCCAUUAUCUCAUCGUUGCUUCAGAGAGCUCUCUCCAAUUUGAUGUCUGACUGGCAAUAGCCUCGAAUACUGAGUUGCAGCACCAAACACGAAAUACACACCUGGGACGGAUCCAGAUACCUCUUCCCACACGCGAUACGAAGCCUCUCUCGCUCCUCGGAGCACCUGCAAACCAAGCACUACGCCUUUCCGAUAGCUUUCUGUUCAAAGCUCUCCGAAAGGAGCAGUGAAGAUCAGAACUUAACCCUAAGUAUUUGUUGGUUCUAGCUUUGCAGUCACAGUUGUUCUUCCAAAUUAUUAGAUUCUUGUCUGCUGAGUGAUGAUCGAUGCCGAAAGGCUGAAGUCUGAUCGACGCUGAGGAUUGAAAGGUUGGAGGGAUAGUCCAGAUGUUGAAAGACGAUAAAACAGACUUCUGCUAUGAGCCGUUCUGGUAAAAUCCUCGUGUGAGGAUGCUCGUCAGGGUUGUCGGCUGGGCGUUAUACUCUGAUCACUAUGGAUCGUCUUCGUUGGGUUUAUGGAUGACAUGGAUAGGAGAUUCAAUGUGGCACAGACACAGGCACUUCCUUGAGAAGAGGUCUUUGGGAUCUUCUACAAGCUGGCUCAAAUCGGCCAACAUGGGCUUUAUCAACUUUAUGGCGGAGGUGACCUGGACUCUUCUGGAAUGUGGGGACUGAGCACAACACUACAAAGUGGUCUACAAACAGACUGUCUCCUGCAAGCAUUUCCCACUUCCUUCGGGUUGUGAAUUGGUAGUGAUCUCACUCGUCUGAAUCAUCUGCUUGUUGCAUUUGUAGCGGGAUUUCACUACCUCCAAACCGAAAUGCAGUGCACUGAUAGUCCUUCUACGUGCCUAGGCACCGUGAAGAAGAGACAUGCUGUCAUGCUCCAGAAGUCUUCCAUACCUAGCUGAGCAACCUUUUCACCAAAGCUAUAGAGAUAGGUUCUGUGCGAUUUGGUCCAGUGAAGAUGUCCCGUGUCUGCUCUCAUCCUGAUAGCUACUUUCCGAAGUAAGUUGUAGGACGUUGUAUCCACCCUUUCCGUUCAUCAGAACCUCGCAUUUAAUGCGCAGUGAACUCACAAGACCACUGCCGAGGCAUCAGCCAAAGGCUCUGUCAUAUAAGUGUGAUCUCGAUCAGCCGCAUCAACUUUCUCCUUUAGGCUCGGUCCUAGAGUGAUGGAAGACGCCGACACACAGUCACUCAUCCCCCGCGGUGUGUGUACCCCAUUUCCUCUCCCUCGUCAUUUCGGAGACGAGCGGCGGAGAAGUAAGCGGUUUUUGUUGAUGUAUUUUGUCCGUUUCUGGCCCUGUCCCUCCAUGAGGGUACAGAGGAAACAUAAAACUAAUCUCAGAGGGCAAUGCUGUUCAAACAGAGAGAGGCUUCGCUAUCCGCGUUGAGGUGUUUGCUCGUCCUUGGAUCUGUCUAUUCCGGGUCCGGUUCACUGCCGGUAUUGAACAACUAUUGCUGGGUUGAGGGCUCAAGUUCUAUAGACGAGAACCAGUUGCUAGCUUGGGCGAUGAAAUUUCUGGGUUGCGAAAGACUGGGAAGUGUGUUGAGAAUGUUCUGGUUGAUUCAUACUGCAGACUUAGUCUUGAGUAUUGACCUAGAGGAAGGGACGAAUUUGCUCAGCGUCCAGAACGGGACCCAUCUCGUGUUGGAGUCAAAGCUUAGUGCUUGUCUGUUCUGGGUAGCGUUGUGCUGAUUGCAGAACUUGUCGAAGGGUUGUAUUUGACUCCUGAGUUGCUGUGCUGGAUUGUGGACUUUCUCUGAGUUGGCCUCUCGGAGCGUGAGAUCAGGACAGGCCUAAGGGAGGGCAGUCCAGGGUUGCCUCUUGCUUGUUCGCAGGCUUGGGGCGACCCCUCCAAAUUUUGGGG